UACAGAGGGUGCAAGCGUUAAUCGGAAUUACUGGGCGUAAAGCGUGCGUAGUCGGUUAUUUAAGUCGGGUGUGAAAGCCCCGGGCUCAACCUGGGAAUUGCAUUCGAUACUGGAUGAGCUAGAGUUCGGCAGAGGGAAGCGGAAUUUCCGGGUGAUAGCGGUGGAAAUGACGUAGAUAUCGGAAGGAACAUCAGUGGCGAAAGCGGCUUCCUGGACCAGAACUGACGAUCAGGCACGAAAGCGUGGGGAGCAAACAGG
rnacentral:rRNA from 1 species